rnacentral:rRNA from 1 species
UUCUGACCGUAAACGAUGCCAACUAGCGAUCCGCCGGUGGCUUCUAGGCCCUGGUGGGGAGCUUCCCGGAAACGAAAGUCUUCCGGUUCCGGGGGAAGUAUGGUUGCAAAGCUGAAACUUAAAGGAAUUGACGGAAGGGCACCACCAGGUGUGGAUCCUGCGGCUUAAUUUGACUCAACACGGGAAAACUCACCCGGCCCGGACACCGUGAGGAUUGACAGAUUGAUAGCUUUUUCAUGAUUCGGUGGUUGGUGGUGCAUGGCCGUUCUUAGUUCGUGGAUCGAUUUGUCUGGUUUAUUCCGAUAACGAGCGAGACUCCAGCCUACUAACUAGUGCAGGCAUUGCUUCUGUGCCUUUCGCACUUCUUAGAGGGAUUGGCUGCGUCUAGCGGCACGAAACGGAGCAAUAACAGGUCUGUGAUGCCCUUAGAUGUCCGGGGCUGCACGCGCGCUACACUGGCAAAGGCAACGUGCUUGUCCGUCUCCGAGAGGAGCCGGUAAACCCUUGAAAGUUUGCCGUGAUUGGGAUCGGAGAUUGCAAUUAUUUUCCGUGAACGAGGAAUACCUAGUAAGUGCGAGUCAUCAGCUCGCGUUG